GACGAACGCUGGCGGCGUGCUUAACACAUGCAAGUCGAGCGGAGCGGCGAACGGGUGAGUAACGCGUGAGUAACUGCCCCCCUCUCUGGGAUAACAGUUGGAAACGGCUGCUAAUACCGGAUAGUGGGGGAUGACUAGCGUCCUAUCAGCUUGUUGGUGGGGUAGUGGCCUACCAGGGCGACGACGGGUGGCCGGCCUGAGAGGGGGACCGGCCACAUGGGGCUGAGAUACGGCACAAACUCCUACGGGAGGCAGCAGUGGGGAACAUUGCACAAUGGGGGAAACCCUGAUGCAGCAGCGCCGCGUGCGGGAUGACGGCCUUCGGGUUGUAAACCGCUUUCAGCCAUGACGCGGUAGUGGCAGAAGAAGCACCGGCUAACUACGUGCCAGCAGCCGCGGUAAUUC
rnacentral:rRNA from 1 species